AGUGUAAGUACGCUUGAUGAAAGCUUUCUCGUUUUUUAUGCGGAUCGCCGCAACUUUUUGUGGGCUCUUCUAGCCAGCACCAGCAGCCAGCAGAAGUGAUACAGCCAGCCCUGAGAUCACGUCGGAUUGUUCCGCGAUCCAGUUGGCCAGUGCCGCAGUUAACCGUAUCAAAAGUUAAUACGUUUUACCCCAAUCCAAAACGCAGUGUCCGAGUGCAGAAGUGACUUUUUCCGGCUACCGGAAAUUGUAAACCAAUUGUGAAUUUGCCACCAGAAGAUGUGAAAAGUUUUCGAGUGAAUCGGAAAGUGCCUGUCGUGAGAGGUAGAAACAUAACGGGAUCAGGGCCGAACCAAUUCGAGUGCGGCCCGAAGUGUAGUGAAAAUUACCGUAAGAACACGGUAAAACUAGGGCGGAUAGAAGGUGGUGGCUGAGUGGAUUUUAAAGGACAUCUGUGUGUAGACGACGAAGACUGCAACAGCAUAGGUGUCUCCAGAAAAAUGCUAAUUUGCUAUCACACACUAGCGCCGCCACCUUGAACGACACAACUAUAUUAAAAAAAAGAUCUUAUACCGUGCACAGGGUUGUGUGUCAGUAGACGAAGUUCACCUCACGAAUACUGAUGGGGAUCCGAGCUUGUGAGUUGGGAAAAAUUAACCAAAAGGAGUGAUUUCAUGAACACGGAAAAUCAUGCAGAAGAGGGUCGGUAUUGAAUUCAGUUUAGUUCGUUUUUAUUUUGUACGGUUUAAAAAAUAUGCGAGUUAAGUGCUGCAAACGAGUGUAACAAGACGUGUGGACGACAUGGGAAGUUUUCUGAACUUUUGACAGCGCACACAAGCCCGUGUCCGGAAGGUAAAAUACCCAUACAUAUACGGUGAUAGUGGGUGUAUGCGCAAAGAACUGAAGAAAAAUUCAUUCGAAAAGGAAAAGCGCAGUGAUUUUUUUGGAUGGUAGAACAAAUAAAAAUUCCUUGGGCAUAGUAGACAUGAUAACGUGAAAGUGAUUCUGUCGAAAGAACAAGUUGAACGCUGUGCGAGUGUUUGGGACUUUAAUUGAUGAAUGAUACGGUUGAAUCACGCGGCGGGGUGUGUUUACGUGAAGUGUAUCUAUUUGAUGCAAUUUUCUUCGCCCCUGCGGUAGUGUUUGUGUGCUGUGACGCAGAAAGUGGGUCUUUCUCGAAUGAAACUUCACAAACACAUGGAUACUAGCGAGUUCUAUCGCGACAAACUGGCGACUGACGAUUCAUUUUAACCAAGCGAAAAGGAUCAACGGAAAGGAAGUAUUUUAGCUGGUGAUGUACGUGUGUUCUCUCUCUCUCCCUAGAGUGUCUUCUCUCUAGAGUGUCAAUAAAUUGCCUGUAUAGAGCUAAGUGUGUUACAAAUCAUGCAUUGUAAAUGCUGAAUAAAAAAAGAAACAGUGAACAUGUACCGUAUCAUAUUGUAAAUAUUAUCUUCUGCGAUCGCGUUCCGUUAUUGCUUGCCUCUAGAGUGAAUAUAGACAGUUUCCUCGGAAUCCGUUGCCAGUACGCUUGGUGAGGAAGAUCCUGUGAGUAAUUGUAUUAUAUGUAAAGUUGCAAAGGAAAAUAGCCGGAGAAAAAAUAUUCGUUUAAUUCCUAAUCAUGAGAAAACCCGACAGUGUAUUAUCGAGCAGAUAACGCAGUGCUGUGUGUGUGCGGGAAAAAAAUCUAACGCUAUCAGAUCGAUCGUCGUACGUGUGUGACAGAAUCCGACUACUGUUAAGCGGAAGAAGACUCGACUCGCAAAUCUUAAUCUGUAAUCGAAAUUCGGAAAAUGCAGCGUCGCGAAGCUCCAAACAAGGAACAACAGCAGCGUGAAGGCCGCGAGCGUGACGUCGCACGACAGACAAGGUGAGCUUCAAACUUGUACCUCACUAACUGACUCACGCAUAUAAUCAUAUCGAUUUCGUGUGCGUGUGUGUGUUGUAUGUGUGUCUGUGCGCAGGCGUCGCCGCGCGGUCGCCUGAUAGUCGCAAAGCAUAGUGUGGUGCAAUUGCGGUGGUAAGUGAAGUGAGGAAUCAGAAGAAGCCAAGCAGAAAAAAGAACACGAAACUGCUGCGCCCAGUGCAUUUUUCGGUGCGUAUGUGUGCAAGUGUUGAAAAGACAGCAGCAGUACGAGUGCGGAGAAUCCAGUGAAAUAGAGAGAAAAGUUAGCCACACUCCAUCACCCACUGAGUCACAUUUGGCACAGUAGGAGUCAUUUGCCAGUGACCUCCGAGAUGAAUGC